CCUACCGGGAGGCAGCAGUGGGGAAUUUUGGACAAUGGGCGCAAGCCUGAUCCAGCAAUGCCGCGUGAGUGAAGAAGGCCUUCGGGUUGUAAAGCUCUUUUGUCAGGGAAGAAACGGUGAGGGCUAAUAUCCUUUGCUAAUGACGGUACCUGAAGAAUAAGCACCGGCUAACUACGUGCCAGCAGCCGCGGUAAUACGUAGGGUGCAAGCGUUAAUCGGAAUUACUGGGCGUAAAGCGUGCGCAGGCGGUUUUUGAAGUCCUGUCGUGAAAUCCCCGGGGCUCAACCUGGGAAUUG
rnacentral:rRNA from 1 species